AACACAGGAAUGUAUGAAAUUCCUGGUAUGCAUACAUGAAGCCCCUGUUGUUGAGUGUAUUACAUAAAAGAUCUUUACUUCAACCAGAAUAACUACUGAUGUUAAUGAUCCAUCCUGCCAAUGGAGAAGAUGUUGAUGUUAAUAUUCUCUCCUACCCUCUGAAUCUAUGCUGAUAUCAAGGAUACACCCAGGAACAGAUAUCAAGAUUAUCCAUGAUCGAUGCUACCACAGGCAACCUUGACCCCGGUGAUCCCUGAUGCAAGUUCCAUUCGGCCACUAGGAAAGAGGUUUCUGUACAUGGUCUGACCUGCCCUCUGAAACUGUCACUGAUGAUGUCACUGAUACCUCCCAGACACAAAGACCAUGAUGUAACCAAGAUCACUGCUGCCACCAAUCUACCAGCAUUCUUGAUGCGUCCAUCAUUACUAUUGAGAUCCUAUCUACCACAGGAAGCUAUGUUAUAUGUUCUGAGCUGCCACGUGAGUGAUGUGUGUGAUUCAACUUGCAACUAGAAGCUAUGAUGUUAUCACUGCUGCCUGCUGUUACCAAAACAUGAUGGUUUUCAUAGAUCAUAUUGAGAUCCUACCUGCCACAAGAAACUAAGAUACUGGCACAGGAAUUAAUGAUGAUGUUACAAAUGCAUGCAUGCAGUCCCUGUUAUAGAAUAUAUUAUGUACAAGAUCCUUGCUCCCACCAGAUGAGCUGCUGGUGUCAGUGAUCUAGUCACCCA